UUCUGCUAAGUCGCAAGACGAUGUAUAGGAGCUGACGCCUGCCCGGUGCUGGAAGGUUAAGGGGAUCUGUUAGAGCAAUCGAAGCAGUGAACUUAAGCCCCAGUAAACGGCGGCCGUAACUAUAACGGUCCUAAGGUAGCGAAAUUCCUUGUCGGGUAAGUUCCGACCCGCACGAAAGGCGUAACGAUUUGGGCACUGUCUCAACAACAGACUCGGUGAAAUUGUAAUUCCGGUGAAGAUGCCGGAUACCUGCGACAGGACGGAAAGACCCCAUGGAGCUUUACUGUAGCUUGACAUUGGGUCUUGGUACUACAUGUACAGGAUAGGUGGGAGGCUUUGAAACCAGGACGCCAGUUUUGGCGGAGCCAUCCUUGGGAUACCACCCUUGUAGUACUGGGACUCUAACCAUAGGCCAUGAAUCUGGUCUUGGGACACUGUCAGGUGGGCAGUUUGACUGGGGCGGUCGCCUCCCAAAAGGUAACGGAGGCGCUCAAAGGUUCUCUCAGUACGGUCGGAAAUCGUACGUAGAGUGUAAAGGCAAAAGAGAGCUUGAUUGCAAGACAUACAGGUCGAGCAAGGAUGAAAAUCGGACUUAGUGAUCCGGUGGUUCUGCGUGGAAGGGCCAUCGCUCAACGGAUAAAAGCUACCCUGGGGAUAACAGGCUUAUCUCCCCCAAGAGUCCACAUCGACGGGGAGGUUUGGCACCUCGAUGUCGGCUCAUCACAUCCUGGGGCUGUAGUAGGUCCCAAGGGUUGGGCUGUUCGCCCAUUAAAGUGGUACGCG
rnacentral:rRNA from 1 species